rnacentral:lncRNA from 1 species
AGAGUUCUUCGUACGCCUCACCCGGGGUUGGGUGUGGAUAGCAGGGCCACCCAUAGAUGAUUAGUGUUUCAGCUUAUGUCCCCUUAUGGUUGUUAGUAUAGUAGUUACGGUUUGUUAUUAUUGCAUGCGACUGUAUUUAUGUUUCUUAUGUUUACAUAAUUAUUUACGUUAUUUCUGCGGGAUUUACUAAUGCUUUANN